rnacentral:tRNA from 1 species
GGGCGCUUAGCUCAGUCGGUAGAGCAUCUGACUUUUAAUCAGAGGGUCACAGGUUCGAAUCCUGUAGCGCCCACCA